rnacentral:rRNA from 1 species
GAUGAACGCUGGCGGCGUGCCUAAUACAUGCAAGUCGAGCGAACAGACGAGGAGCUUGCUCCUCUGACGUUAGCGGCGGACGGGUGAGUAACACGUGGAUAACCUACCUAUAAGACUGGGAUAACUUCGGGAAACCGGAGCUAAUACCGGAUAAUAUAUUGAACCGCAUGGUUCAAUAGUGAAAGACGGUUUUGCUGUCACUUAUAGAUGGAUCCGCGCCGCAUUAGCUAGUUGGUGAGGUAACGGCUUACCAAGGCAACGAUGCGUAGCCGACCUGAGGGGGUGAUCGGCCACACUGGAACUGAGACACGGUCCAGACUCCUACGGGAGGCAGCAGUAGGGAAUCUUCCGCAAUGGGCGAAAGCUUGACGGAGCAACGCCGCGUGAGUGAUGAAGGUCUUCGGAUCGUAAAACUCUGUUAUUAGGGAAGAACAAAUGUGUAAGUAACUAUGCACGUCUUGACGGUACCUAAUCAGAAAGCCACGGCUAACUACGUG